GAUGAACGCUGGCGGCGUGCCUAAUACAUGCAAGUCGAGCGAACGGACGAGAAGCUUGCUUUUCUGAUGUUAGCGGCGGACGGGUGAGUAACACGUGGAUAACCUACCUAUAAGACUGGGAUAACUUCGGGAAACCGGAGCUAAUACCGGAUAAUAUUUUGAACCGCAUGGUUCAAAAGUGAAAGACGGUCUUGCUGUCACUUAUAGAUGGAUCCGCGCUGCAUUAGCUAGUUGGUAAGGUAACGGCUUACCAAGGCAACGAUGCAUAGCCGACCUGAGAGGGUGACCGGCCACACUGGAACUGAGACACGGUCCAGACUCCUACGGGAGGCAGCAGUAGGGAAUCUUACGCAAUGGGCGAAAGCCUGACGGAGCAACGCCGAGUGAGUGAUGAAGGUCCUCGGAUCGUAAAACUCUGUUAUUAGGGAAGAACAUAUGUGUAAGUAACUGUGCACAUCUUGACGGUACCUAAUCAGAAAGCCACGGCUAACUACGUG
rnacentral:rRNA from 1 species